AAACAGGAGGAGGGAAAGAAAUGCUCGGCUGGUCCAGUGAAUGAAAGGCACGAUUGGCAUCAGUCGCAAACAAUCUGCGCUUCACUGAUGACCAGAGCUGUUCAAAAAGGGGAUGGAUGGCAUGGCUAGAAUUGAAGGGGGCUAAUGAAAAAUGGCUCGUCAAAAGAAGAUUGCGAGCAUUUAUAACCUCUGCCUCCGCCUUAUUAAUAAUAUGGAAGCGGUCUAUCAAGUUCCUUGAAUAGCAAGGAGGAA
rnacentral:lncRNA from 1 species